AACUUCCGGCUGUUGCCAUGGCAAUGGUAAACUGAUGUAGCACACUGGUGGGCAUAUCUUACGUAAUGUUGCUUUUGCCCCAGAUGCCCUGGACCUUUUAACUAGUCCUCAAUCUGGUCCAGUUUCCGAGUCCCUGCUCCAGAGUCGAGUACCGCCUCCUACCUCAAUGGGCAAGAGUCUAGAAAAUUUAAUCCUUAAGCCUGUUUUGCUGAAGCACCAAAA
rnacentral:lncRNA from 1 species